GUGAGUCAUCGAAUCUUUGAACGCACAUUGCGCCCUUUGGUAUUCCGAAGGGCAUGCCCGUUCGAGCGUCAUUAAACCCACUCAAGCCUGGCUUGGUAAUGGGCGUCGGGACGUCCCCGCGCCUCAAUCUCCCCGGCGAGACUUUCCAUCGCGAGCGUUAUGAUAUUCAACUCGCGAAGCGAUCGAGAAGACUCCUGCCGUUAAAAACCUCCAACAAGGUUGACCUCGGAUCGGGUAGGGAUACCCGCUGAACUUAAGCAUAUCAAUAAGCGGAGGA
rnacentral:misc_RNA from 1 species